rnacentral:rRNA from 1 species
GAUGAACGCUGGCGGCGUGCCUAAUACAUGCAAGUCGAGCGAAUGGAUUAAGAGCUUGCUCUUAUGAAGUUAGCGGCGGACGGGUGAGUAACACGUGGGUAACCUGCCCAUAAGACUGGGAUAACUCCGGGAAACCGGGGCUAAUACCGGAUAACAUUUUGAACCGCAUGGUUCGAAAUUGAAAGGCGGCUUCGGCUGUCACUUAUGGAUGGACCCGCGUCGCAUUAGCUAGUUGGUGAGGUAACGGCUCACCAAGGCAACGAUGCGGAGCCGACCUGCGAGGGUGAUCGGCCACACUGGGACGGAGACACGGCCCAGACUCCUACGGGAGGCAGCAGUAAGGAAUCUUCCGCAAUGGACGAAAGUCUGACGGAGCAACGCCGCGUGAGUGAUGAAGGCUUUCGGGUAGUAAAACUCUGUUGUUAGGGAAGAACAAGUGCUAGUUGAAUAAGCUGGCACCUUGACGGUACCUAACCAGAAAGCCACGGCUAACUACGUGCCAGCAGCCGCGGUAA